GACGAACGCUGGCGGCGUGCCUAAUACAUGCAAGUAGAACGCUGAAGGAGGAGCUUGCUUCUCUGGAUGAGUUGCGAACGGGUGAGUAACGCGUAGGUAACCUGCCUGGUAGCGGGGGAUAACUAUUGGAAACGAUAGCUAAUACCGCAUAAGAGUAGAUGUUGCAUGACAUUUACUUAAAAGGUGCAAUUGCAUCACUACCAGAUGGACCUGCGUUGUAUUAGCUAGUUGGUGAGGUAACGGCUCACCAAGGCAACGAUACAUAGCCGACCUGAGAGGGUGAUCGGCCACUCUGGGACUGAGACACGGCCCAGACUCCUACGGGAGGCAGCAGUAGGGAAUCUUCGGCAAUGGACGGAAGUCUGACCGAGCAACGCCGCGUGAGUGAAGAAGGUUUUCGGAUCGUAAAGCUCUGUUGUAAGAGAAGAACGAGUGUGAGAGUGGAAAGUUCACACUGUGACGGUAUCUUACCAGAAAGGGACGGCUAACUACGUG
rnacentral:rRNA from 1 species